rnacentral:rRNA from 1 species
GAUGAACGCUGGCGGCGUGCUUAAUACAUGCAAGUCGAGCGAACAGACGCGGAGUUUGCUCCUCUGUCGUUAGCGGCGGACGUGAGUGAAACAUGUGGAUCCUCUCCCUAUCAGACUGGGAUAUCUUCGGGACUCCGGCGAUAAUACCGGAUAAUCUCCUGCACCGCAUGGUUCAUUGGUGAAAGUCGGUUUUGCUGUCUGUUAUCGAUGGUUCCGAGCCGAAUUAGCUAGUUGUGACGGUAACGGCUUUCCACGGCAACGAUGCCUAGCCGACCGGUGAGAGGGGUAGGCCACACGGGAACUGAGACGCGGUCCAGGCUCCUACGAGAGGCAGCAGUAGGGAAUCUGCCGCAAUGGUCGAGAGCCUUACGGAGCAACGCCGCGUGAGUGGUGGAAAUCUUCGGAUCGUAAAACUCUGUUAUGAGGGAAGAACAAAUGUGUAAUGAACUAUGCACGGCGUGACGGUACCGAGUCAGAAAGCCACGGCUAACUACGUG